ACUGCUUGUGGACUCAAUCAACUCAGUAGCCACUGCUGGUUUUGGAGUACACUCAGUACCUCACACAGCAUGUAAUUAAUGGAAAGAUUGACUAGGACUGGGACUGAGAGAAGCCCUGAUAGUACAUACUUGAAAUGUCCUCAUGAUUUGACAGAAAAUCAUUAACUGGAAAACACUGCAAAUCAACUGGAUUCACCAUUUAUUUCAGGUCACACUGGCCUCUUCUGCAUCAGUCAGCUAGUUGGCAGAAUGAAGAGGAAUAUGCUGUAUAUGUGCUGUCAUCGGUCAUGUGGCAGUGAAAAAGAAGAGGGCUAAACAGACAAAUGAAGGAAAGGUAGAAUGGAGGGACAGGAUAGCAACGUAAAACCAGGGCCAGCCCAAUACCGUGUAGUUUGUUGGAAGUGCUGAAAUUACAGCCUGAGGUGGCACAGCUGCUAGAACAAGAUCAGCCAAGCGGGAAUAGAUGCAUCAGGGAUAAAGCACAAGAUGGCCUCCACUAAUCCAAACCACUUACCUUCAUGUUUCUGCUUUCCAUAAAAGUACAAGGGACUCCGUUAUCACUCAGUCAUCAAUGAAGUAGCUGCAUUCUGUGCUCAUCUCAUCUCUGAAGCUGAAAGAAGAGCUAGUUAUUAUCUUCAAAAGGAGAAGAAGAGUGGGCUGUUGAAACUUCUAGCAGGAGCAUCAACAAAAAAGAAGUCACGCUCCCCACCAUCUGUGUCCCCCACGCAUGACCCCCAGACUGCCAUUGAAGGAGUUCUGCAAGGGGCAGUGGGGCCUGAGCUGUCCUCCCUCUCCAGUCACGGCAGAGCUGGCUCAUGCCCUAUUGAGAGUGAAAUGCAAGGAGCCAUGGGGCUGGAGCCUCUGCACAGAAAAACAGGCUCCUUGGAUUUGAAUUUUUCCAUCCCUUCACCUGUCAGGCCACCCCUCUCUUCCAUGGCAGCUAUUCGGCCAGAGCCCAAGCCUUUGCCCCGGGAAAGGUACCGCGUUGUGGUCCCAUACCCACCGCAGAGCGAGGCGGAGAUCGAACUGAAGGAAGGUGACAUUGUGUUUGUGCACAAGAAACGGGAGGACGGCUGGUACAAAGGGACGUUGCAGAGGAACGGCAGGACGGGCCUCUUCCCCGGGAGCUUUGUCGAGAGCUUCUGAGGACGAAUCGCCGCUCUCUCAACUGAGGAGCUUUCAGGGGAAACUGCAUAGCACAAGAGACAGCAAAGAGAAACUGGACUGAUAACCACUGCCAUUUUUAUUUCCAAAGACUUCCCCCAGGCCCUUCAGUCUGCAGCUCCGGAGACACAGUGCCCCGCUGUGCUCCCGAGACCGUGUGCAGUGCAUACAGUGGUAUGUUGAAGUAGUGCCUUCCACCUGGAAUCACAGACUGAAAGGACGCCCAUCUGGACUAUAGUAACCUAAACUCUGGCUGUUAACCUUUUGUGUAAAUUAUAGAGAAGAUAUCUUUAAAAAAAAUUAAGAGGAAAGCUGUUAUAUUGCUGUAACUUAUUUGUCAGAGCUGCAGUGUUCUUAUUACUGGCCUAUGCAAGAUGGAUUUGAGUUCAAGAAGGUGUGCUAGGAAGCUCUUAAACAGGGAUUUUGUUUUUACCAAGGGAAGAAGAGGGGAGGGUGGAGAAAACCCCAGCUAAAGAUCAGUGCAUCAUUGUGCAAGUAAGAAUGAGGAGUCAAAAACGUUAAUGUCAUGCUUUCUAUAUACCUCAAAGAUAUGCUGCGCAGGUUUGUCGGUGCGUGUCGGUGUUAAGUGCUCAGAGUGCUACACCACCCCUUGUCCUGGCACUGCUGCCAGGGAGGUCCUGGAGGAAGUACAGCUCCACCAUUAAACCGUGGUUAUUUGAGCAGAAUCCCUUUUGCCUGUCUUCUGCCCGUAUUAUAUGCAGCAUGGAUUUUUGUCCUUCGGUAUCACUUUCCAUUGCUUUUUUGUACGACGUACCUUUUUACUGUAAGAAUUGCUCUACUUUAUAUAUAUUCCUACUAGAUCAGACAUUUCCUCUUUUUCAUACAUCUGGUGCUAUUUUUUUUAAUUGUUAAAAGAUUUGGUUAAACAGAGAGGCUGCAACAAGAUUUGCAUUCAACAUAUGAAAUUAGAAACGUACCUGAAGAUUGAGAUCAGACUGCUUGUUCUUGCAUCAGAGAGGAAAAAAGAAAAAGCUGCAUGGUCACCGAUAAAUGUACCAGGGGGAGCUGCCUGUGCAACAUACACAUGCUUGCUCUCUCCUACAUAUUUAGAGUGGCUGAAGACCCAUGCUGAAGCACAGCGUUCUGUCUGGAGGGUGAUAAUGACUCCAGAAUUGGAAGUAAUUCCCAGAGGAGUCAUUUUAAUUGACUUUUUCAUGGCAAUAAGAAGAACACUGCAGGUUCUAGCACGCGCAGGGACCGUGGAGUUUUCCUCUGUCGUUGCAUGACGGAGAUGAGAGCUGAUCUGCGACACCAGUAAUUAGUGUUAUGGAAAUGUGAUUUCUUACUGUAGAAAUGUACAGUUCUGGAGACUGUUGGAUUUCUUAACGUCGUCAAGCUACAAUACAAACUGUAUCAGGCAAUAUAAGCUUCCAUCUACCAGGGACUUAAAGGUGCAAUAAAUGUAAGGUGAGUUUAGCCAGUAAUUUGUGUGAAAAAGAAUGAGAAAAAAAGUCAUAAUGCAAUUGUUGAGAGUAUUUAAAAAGACAUCAGCUCUUGAGGAGUGAAUCGUGUUGAAAGGCCUUUCGUAGCUGUAUCCAUACCUUGCCUCUGACAGGAGCUGGCUGUUUGCCAAAGCCCACAUGUGGUGGGUGUUUAAAAGCAUGUCAGAGGCACUGUAACCUGGAGAUGAUCUUAUUAAAACAAAGAGGCCCUGUGGGUGAGCAUCAUCACUGCGUUACCAGUAUUUCAUAUGCGAAGGUGUAAGUUUUGUUUUCAUUCAAGCCGUGUGUACUAGUACAUAUCAAAACCCAUGUAAGUGAGCAUUCCUGUUUAAGUUCAGCUCUGUGACUUUGUUCUCUGUAAAAUAAGUUCUUCUUGCUGUCACAUGUUAACAAACCAAUUCCAGAAACACAGUUCAUGGCCAAGUAUAGCACCUUCAAACCGGGAGGCAUCACUUUCAGGGUGUUUCUUUUUAUACUUGAUGUUGCCGCAUUUGUUGAUAUUCCAGAUUGUAAUGAGUCAGUCACUAAAAAUUUAGUUACUGUUCAGAGGAAAUUGCCUUUUUAUAAACAAUAAGAGACUGAAGAAACGUCUUCUGGAAAGACUUGCUUGAGAUUAGAGCCAUAUCUGUUCCACUUAUUUGGUCCAGGUCAGAACUGGUGUCACAGCACCUCAAACAGUAAACUGCACAGUUAGGCAGUCAGCAAUGCCAAAAUGUGUGUUAUUGAUUCCAGUAAAAAUUCUGGGUUAGAUCUGUCAGAGAUGAGAUUUUUUCUGACAACUUACAGUGGUUAAAACACUCUUAAAAUUCUGUUCCCUGGUGUAUUUACUACAGUCAGAAAAACUAAACAGGACGACAGCUUGCAUGCUGCCUCUUCUGUUUAGCCAGACCUAAAAUGGUUCCAGAUUUCCACUGUUUUAUGCUUAACUCUAAGAGGACAAAAGUUGGUGUGUGAGAGGAUCAAGGAAAACAUGCAGAUGUCAUAUCAUUAAAUCAGUGCUUUGAAAUAUAUUUUGCAAGGAGGAUAAUGGUUUUUUGAAUGGUCGACAACUCUUCCAGUCAUACCUUCUUCUAGGAAAAAUAUAGGCGGGAGGGGGAAGGAGGUGUUCUAUUUUGAUAGCAGCUGUUUCUGGGCCCUCUUUAUUGCUUAUCACAGUUCAGGUUAGUGAGUAAUCUUCUUGAACAAAUCACUUCCAUGCCAGGAGCACAAGUAUUAAGGUGAACUUAAUACAGCCCAGUGAUACAAAAACAUGACCCAGUGCCAUUCAGAAAGUCCUGGAGUGAGAGAAGUUUGACUCAUACUGUGGUCUAGUUUUUACCUGUCACGCCAGGAAAAGAGGGAGGAGGGGGCAUCUCCAUCUCCCGCAAAACAGGGCGAGGACAAGAAAAGAUUCCUUCUGGUGGCCUCAGUUUGUAAAAUGCCAGGUUUGUUCUUCUAGAAAUGGGUUCAAGUAGUUGAACAAUUCCUUUGAACUUUGCACAGCUCAGAAAAUGUUUUUGUUAUACAUGAAUGUUAACGUGGUUUAGGAAAUGUUGGCAGAUAUGAGUACAAAUGAACUACAAUGACUGUGUUUCUGAUUCUUUAAAUAAAAUAAGUAUUAAGGCAACUUGACUGAAGUUUCUC